CGGUCAGUCAGUGGAAAGGGUUCCAUCUUUCUGAACCUUUACGCUUUGUCAUGAGUUCACCCUGUCCAAGGUUAAGAGCUAUGAGGUCGUUAUGGGGUUGCCCUUUUGAUCUGCUCACCCUAACGUUUAAUGUCAUUGGUUAAGAGCCCAUUUGAUUACCUUUCCAUGGCUUGUUUGUCGAGGUUGAUAUGACCCCUUUUGACUAAAGCCCUACCCAUGUAUGUUUGAGCCCCCUUGUUGGUGCGUUUACUUUAUGCUAUAUGUUUUUUUGUGGUGUG
rnacentral:lncRNA from 1 species